UGGGGAAUCUUCCGCAAUGGACGAAAGUCUGACGGAGCAACGCCGCGUGAGUGAUGACGGCCUUCGGGUUGUAAAGCUCUGUUAAUCGGGACGAAUGGUUCUUGUGCAAAUAGUGCGAGGAUUUGACGGUACCGGAAUAGAAAGCCACGGCUAACUACGUGCCAGCAGCCGCGGUAAUACGUAGGUGGCAAGCGUUGUCCGGAAUUAUUGGGCGUAAAGCGCGCGCAGGCGGAUUGGUCAGUCUGUCUUAAAAGUUCGGGGCUUAACCCCGUGAUGGGAUGGAAACUGCCAAGCUAGAGUAUCGGAGAGGAAAGUGGAAUUCCUAGUGUAGCGGUGAAAUGCGUAGAUAUUAGGAAGAACACCAGUGGCGAAGGCGACUUUCUGGACGAAAACUGACGCUGAGGCGCGAAAGCCAGGGGAGCGAACGGG
rnacentral:rRNA from 1 species